CAAGUCGAACGCGAAAGUCCCGCAAGGGGCGAGUAGAGUGGCAAACGGGUGAGUAACGCGUGGGCGACCUACCUUCGAGUGGGGGAUAACCUUCCGAAAGGAGGGCUAAUACCGCAUGACAUCCCGUGUUUGGAUACACGGACAUCAAAGCUGGGGAUCGCAAGACCUGGCGCUUGGAGAGGGGCCCGCGUCCGAUUAGCUAGUUGGUGAGGUAACGGCUCACCAAGGCUUCGAUCGGUAUCCGGCCUGAGAGGGCGGACGGACACACUGGAACUGAGACACGGUCCAGACUCCUACGGGAGGCAGCAGUAGGGAAUUGUUCGCAAUGGGCGCAAGCCUGACGACGCAACGCCGCGUGGAGGAUGAAGACCUUCGGGUCGUAAACUCCUUUCGACCGAGAUGAACAUCCACCGGCCUAACAUGCCGGUGGACUGACAGUAUCGAGGGAAGAAGCCCCGGCUAACUCCGUGCCAGCAGCCGCGGUAAUACGGGGGGGGCAAGCGUUGUUCGGAAUUACUGGGCGUAAAGGGUUCGUAGGUGGCCCGCUAAGUCAGACGUGAAAUCCCUCAGCUCAACUGGGGAACUGCGUCUGAGACUGGCGGGCUCGAGUGCAGGAGAGGAACGCGGAAUUCCAGGUGUAGCGGUGAAAUGCGUAGAUAUCUGGAGGAACACCGGUGGCGAAGGCGGCGUUCUGGACUGUUACUGACACUGAGGAACGAAAGCCAGGGGAGCAAACGGGAUUAGAUACCCCGGUAGUCCUGGCCCUAAACGAUGAAUGCUUGGUGUGGCGGGUAUCGAUCCCUGCCGUGCCGCAGUUAACGCGUUAAGCAUUCCGCCUGGGGAGUACGGUC
rnacentral:rRNA from 1 species